UCUCUCGGUUGUUUCUCUCUCUUCUGUUGCGGGAUUAGAGUUAAAGCCAUUGCUCCGAAGCCGACCUUUCUCUUCCAAUCACAAGGAAAUCUGAGAUCUUUUUCGGUUCUUCUCAAUACUGGGAGCAAGCAAAUGUUCGUAGCCUUGUAUUUCAAUUGUUGGGCAUGUGAAGUGUGAAAGCGACGGAGACCAACAGAGAGAGAUUAACCCUCCGUCCUGCUCCUUCUCUCUUGCACGAGACCUGCUCGACGAAAUUCCCCAGAGGCAAAAAGCAAAUUCAAGGCACAGACGAAGAAGAAUAUCGUCUUCAGUUUGAGGUGCCUUGUACCUGCUCGACGAAUUGCUCCAGAGAAUCUCCCCUUUUUUUUUUUUUUUUUUUUUUUUUUUUUUUUUUUUUUUUUUUUUUUUUUUUUUUUUUUUCAGGGCGCCCAAGGUUAUUCUGCGUUCAACCUUGCUCUAUGGUGUUGCAAAACUGAAUUAUCAUGGGCACAAAUAUCUUUUGUCCAUGGGGUUUUCUUGCAGAGACGGUUAUGCCGACAACUAAUA
rnacentral:lncRNA from 1 species